UUUUUUUUUUUUUUUUUUUUUUUUUUUUUUUUUUCCCUUUCCCCCAACUGGCUUUCUGGACUAGGAGUCUCCGUUCCAUUUCUCCUGCUUUCCCAAAUCAGAAACGAGCCGGGCCCGCGCGGCUUCUGCGGUCUGGGGUUUCUCUGUCGUGCAGCGUGUGCGGGGGGAAGAGCGCACGGAGCCACCUCACAGCGAGAGGAAGGGCGCGGGGUCCGCGUUCCCCGGGGCCGGGCGGGCAGGCUGGGAGCGGCCCGGCCCCCGCUCCCCCGCUCCCCCGCGGCCCCUCCGGCCCGAGCGCGGCCCCUGCGAGGCCCCCCGGGGGCUCCGCCCGCGCCCGCAGCGCCCGCCGACACCAAGUUUGCGCGCCCGGGAGGCGGAUGGAGACGCCGGCGGCGGGGCUCCGCAGGGGGUGCGCGGCGCCGGUCCCCUGCCGGCGGCUUCACGCGGAAAAUAAUUGAACACAAAAUAAAAGCAGCGUCGGCCCUGGAGGAAGCCGGGCACGUAACCCCGCCGCACUUUGCGCUCCGCGCGCCCCGGGUCGGUGGCCCGGACCGCAGCCCGACCAACUUUCCCGGAGCCCCGGGCCGCCCGCGCGGCCGCUGCGCUGCCGGGGGCGCCGCAGGCCGGGUGCGACCCCGGGGGCGGCGGGGGGCGGCGGGGGGCGGCGGGGGGCGGCGGGGGACCGCACCCGCACCCGCACCCGCCGCGCGCCCCGCCCCCGCCCCGCGCCCCGGCCCCUCUCCAGCCCCAAGUCUGCGCGCCCCAGAAGUGGAGCGAGCCUCCCAGCAGGAGCGACGGACUGGACGGAACGCCGCCCCCGCUCGCGCCCCCGCGCCGCGCCGCCCCUCGGCUCCCGCCCUCCCGCCGCCACUUCCCUCCUUCCUCAAGUCCCCGCGCGCGGCGGGACUUUGGGGAGCCCCGGGGCACGCGCCCGGCCCCCCGCGCGCCGGGAGCGCGGCGCCUCCUUCCCCUCGCGGCGGGAAAGUUGCGCCCGCGCGGCCCCCGGCGAGCCUCGGCGGACCUCCGGGGGCGCCUCCGCGGGGCUGCCCCGCCGGCCGCCCCGGCCCCCGCGGCCCCGCGCUCGCCUCUGCGCACACAAUGCCGCCCCCGUCCCCGCCCCCGUCCCCGUCCCCGCGCCGGCAAAGUCCGGGGACCCGGGGGCCAACGCGCCGGCCGGAGCCGGGUCCCGAGCACCGCGGCCGGGGCGCCCCCCGCCGGCCCCGGGGGCGGACCUUACCCGCGGGACGCGCCGGCUCCCGCCGCUCAGCUGGCCCGCGGGCCACGGGGACGCCGCAGCCGGGGUCCCGGAGACGCUGCUGCUCCGCUGCCGCUGCCCGGAUCCCCGGCGCCAGCAUCACUUCUCCGCCGCCUCCGCCUCCCCGAGCUCCGCUCCCGGCCGCGCGCAGGACCCGCAGCCCCGGCGGCGCGGCGGGCUGGGCAGCAGCGGAGGCGGCGGCGCCCGCACGAGCUCGCCCGGCUGCACCGGCUCGAGCAGCCGCCGCGGCAGCCGGAGCCCCCGAGCCCGGCGGCGCUUCCCCGGCGAAGGCUCGGGCCUCGGAGACUGACGGCGCCCGGCAGCCAAUCGGCGCGCCGCCCCGCGCGGCGGGGGAGGCCAAUCAGGGCGCAAGGCCCAAGGCCCGCCUCCGCCCUCGCUCCGCGGGCUGGUUUCCGGGAGCGGCGGCGCUGCCGCGGGGUCUGGGCGGGGGGCGCGCGGGCGGGCGGGGGGCGGGGGAAGGACGCGCCCCGGGGCGAGGCCGCGUGCGGGAGCCCCGCGCCCCGGACCGCGCCCGCCCUGCCCUUCGGCGGCUCCGGGGCCUCGGCGCCUCGCGGGGCGCAGCCGGGAGGGGCGCCGACCCAGGGCGCGCGCAGGCCCGCCCCAAAGUUGCAGGUGCACGGCCCCCCCGGCUCUCCCACCUGCACCCCGCGCCGGGCGCGCUCCGGGAGCCACGGCUCCAGAAGCCACGCGGAAAGAGGCUUUAA
rnacentral:lncRNA from 1 species